CUGUGUGCCCCACUGUGCAGGAUCUGAGCAAGGAUUUGAGAGCUCAGGUUUGCAUCCUGGAUGGGAAACAGCCAGACUCAAAUUGUCUGCCUUCUGAGUGAUGUACCCUGCCUGGAAGAGAAGACAGCUGGAGAUGAAAGUCACUUAGCUUUUCAAUAAUUUAUGGGACAGACCAAUAUCAAGGAUGACUGGGUGGUAAGACAGAAGGUUCCUGGGCCUCUGAGGAUAGCUGGAAGCUGACCUGUAUCCACCUGGACUUGCUUACUGUUGAAGCCAAAGCUCUUCCGUGGACACAUCCAGAAGGAACCACACCUAGGUUUGGGUCCGUAUUUUAAAGGGAACCAGAAUACUUGGGUGAAGCAAGACAGAGAGAGCAAGUCCAGAGACACCAUCUUCUGAUGUGCAGCUGCUCACGGCUGCCGAGAGCUUUGAGGCUACCGUCCAGCUGGAACCUCAGUUACCCUUAUACACAUUUUACAGCCGGGCCUCGGGCCCCCUUAGGGGUCUGCCAAGUCCAGGAUCCCUGAUUGCAGGCAGGGGGAGUGGGCUUAAGCUGUAGCAGGAGGGAGUCAGUGCAGUAAACAGUGGCAGAAACACAGGCCCCACACCCCAGGUGAAAGAGGCUAAAGACCUUGGCCCAGACAGAGUGGCGGAAGGGUGAGAGGUGAGUGACUGGGGAAGCCCGGGCUCCAGGGCAGUCUUCCAGAAGCAGGAUCUUGACAGGGCUGUUGAAGGUUUCCCAGCUGAGACUUCACCCAUUAAGGUCCAUGUCAGGAACCUCACUCUUCAGCUAGAGGAGCUUUCUGAGUGGGAGGUUUCUCCAGUGGAACCCACCAAACUCAGAGCCCCGGCCUUGGGGCCACCUUAUUUACAGUCGCUAAUGUUCACCUGCCCUGUGACAUCCUGCCCCGGGUGGUGGCCUUUCUCAGAUGCCAAACAGUGACUUAAUGGUUACCCCAAGACUUGCCCGCUUCUCAAUGAAGAAAUGUUGGGAGAAUUCAAGGAUAAGACAUGUAGGCAUUUGGGAUGAGAGAAAGCAUUCAGGAAUUUUGGGAGUAAGUUCUUCGAUCCAUCAUCCUGGGAAGGACGUGUGAGCUGUUAUCUUGGGGACCCAGCGAUGUGUCUUUAAGGACAGCCAGAUUACCAUAUCUCUAGCUUUCUGGACCACCUUGUAAACUUGACCUUCGGCAAUCUUUGCACCACUGCUCCUGGAAAUUGGAGGAAGAGGGGUUUACUGCUUUCCAGGCAGGGUCUGUGUUGGGGAGAAGAGCUGGUCAGCUCUGCAGUUCUGGGUUUGAAAAGACACGAGUCACAAUGGAAGUCCUAGUGAGCACUGUCCUGUUGGAGCAAUAAGUAUGUGCUGCUUCUUCCAAGCUCCCCUAGUUACCAGAAGUGCGCUCUCAGGCCCUAAUGAGAACCCCCAAGGAUUUAUAAAUUUUCCCUGGCCUAGUUGGAACUGACUCUCUGAAGGCAGAAGAGGUUAAAAAUGUGUUUUAAGCUUCAAGCAAUUAGAGCAACCUUGCAGAACCCCUGGCACCAAGAGGAUUUACAUUGCAUGUUAUCUAAUAGCCACAUGAUCAAGUUCAGUUGAGAAUCCCAGCUCUCAGGGACAUCUGGUUCUCCAGAAGAGCAUCUUCGGGUUUGGGACUCAGAGAAGAGCGUGUGAUGCUUGGGACCCAGACCUGGCCGGAAAAAAUAUAAUCAGGACAUGAAAGCGUUUCAGAACGAGAGGCUGGUGCUCCUACUUUAAAAACAUUCCCUGAAGGCAGGCUUUGGAUAGAGAGAGGUCACACACACAACGUCAGUCACAGGAGGCCCUGGAGGAGACAGCAGGCCCCUUCUACUCCAGCUAGCAGUGCAUCAUGGGAGUAGGAAGGCUGGAGAACCUGGUGGUCAACAAGGGCAGAGAGUCUCAGGACGAGCUGCAUCACCUCUUCUGGAAACUUGUUAGAAGUGAACCCUCCGGCCUCCACCCCGGGCCUGCUGACUCAGAGGUGCUGGGGGUGGGGCCCAGCAACCUGUGUUUCACUGUUUCUGUGGGAGACUGUGAUACCCACUCGUGUCUGGGAACCACUCUUCUACCUCAAACAAAAGAACUGGAUCCGGCCUGCAGAUGCAUUUUUAUUGACUGGGAUAGUGUUUAACAUUUUUUGAACUGAUUUCCAAUGUUUCAAAAUGGGUAUUUUUAUAUGAAAAUCCACAUUUCUGGCUUUUCUUGGGGAAAAAAAUAGGAAGACCUAGCCCCAGGGGACUCACAUACCUGCUUGGCAAUAAUUGUCUGGAGCUGAGGAGAGGCUAAAGGUCUUAGAAAGGGCAUGCGCCCUCCUGGGGGAAGGGGUCCCUCAUCAGCUAUCUCGCUCGCGGAUUCACUCUUUCCCAUCUGGAGACCUUUGAGCCAUUGGCCCGUGACCUAGAUAAUGUCUAGUGUCACCUCAAGCUGAAUUUCAGUCAUCACGCAUUUGCUGACCACGUACAUGAUAGGAUGGGCUUUCUGCCACCCUCAUAAUCCUCUUCCUCACUGACUCUUAUUCUCCCCCGUCCACCCUCAACUCCCUCCACUGUUUGCUAAGAUGGGGAAAAAAGAAGACGUGCAAUGAGGGCAAUACCUAGAGUAGAGCCAUGGGAGUCAGUUAAUGCCAGGCAGAAAGAGGUUUAUUUGUUUCGCGUGCACUAUCCUCUGAUCUCACCCUUGAGAAAGUGAACUCACUGUCACGGUCAGAAAAGAAGGGACAGUGGCCUUCUGUUAGGUGUGGACAGGCUUUCAUCGAUGGCUUGGGGGUCAUCAGGGGUGGGCAGGUUCAUUUGCCAGCUGGGAUGACCUAAGACAGUUGACACUCAUUGACUGCCUCCUCUGCGUCAGACACUGAGCUGGGCUCGGAGGCCAUACAAGGUGGCAGUCACCCUCUGUUUCUUUCUUUUGGAGAGGGCUGGCAGGGUCAACAGGUAAGGGUCAGUCCAUAGUGUCAACCCCAAACACAGAGUCCUAACCGCCCCCUUGCUGGUGGCAGAUCCUUGACCCUUUAUGUCAUUUCUGCAGCCGUUUGCCGUGUCCCCUUUUACAAAACGUAAAUGUCUCUCCAUGGGUUCUGACCCCAUGUAACUCUUAACUCUGUAGAGGGAAGGACUAGCUUGGUGUUUCUUCCAUUCUGUCAACCGGUUAUCAAGCAAGGGGCACGUUUGGGGGAAGAAAUAAGAAUAAAAAAAUUGGGAGUAAGGGGGGGUCAGUAGAGCAGAUGUGUGUGGGAAGGGAGGAGAUGCUGGUAAAAUGUGCUUGGCGUUUCUAGACCAGCUCUGACUUGAGAGCCCAGGGCAUUCUCAACUGAAGAGAAACCUCAUUUCUGAACACGCAUUUUCUGAAGGCAGCUGGUGAGCCGUGCGCUCACUGGGCCUCCCUCUCCAUGGGGACCCAAUGACACUGGAGGGGAAUUGGGCAGAGUAGUAGCAAUGCAGGAUUUUUCUGACAGGUGUAUGUUGCCGCUGACUACUUUCUGGGGCCUGCUCAUUUGAGGAUGCAGGGGUGAAAGACGGAGGUCCUGGGGGGCCAAGUUGAGCUAUAGGAGAUGGGGGUGUUACCAAGAGGCUGCGUGAGGAUUUUGGGGGGAAGCUGAAGGCAGGCCUGAGGUGAGGGGAGGGGAAAGAGAAGUGAGGAGUGAAGAAGAAGGCAGGACGACCGAAGACUUGGGGCAUCCAUUAUGGUGUUCCUUUGAGCGGGACUUGAUUCUCAGUUUUAGCAGCUCUUGAAUGAAGCCUGCCUUCCAAUAGGACACACUCUUCCGAAGGGAUGGGAGGUGGGAGAGCGGCGAGAGGGAGUAAGAAUCAGGAAAUUUAGUCGUUCAGUGUAAGCCUCACCUCACCCUUGCAAAGUUGUGAUUAUAGUUCCAUGUGGCCUAGAUAUCUGCUGACCUCACUUUAUACUUUGACAUCUAAACAGAGAUGGCUUUGCCCCCAAUCCCCACCCAGUCCACUCAGCAAGCUGUCUGGGAUGUCCUGGGCUGGGGUGCUUAUGGUCACUUCUGAACUCCCAUUUUCACCCCCACUUGCCUUCUAGGGUCACUUUUCCCUUUGCUCUGCGCUGACCUCACUCCUUGUCCCCACGCCUGGCCUCCUUCCUGCUCUACCUGAACCACUUUUUGUGUGAAUGACAGGUUUUAUCAAAAGUUUGGGAGCAGCAGAUGGUUUUUCAUCACAAAACAGCAUGGCAUGAUACUAGAUAUUCCUGGCCUUAAAAAUCCUGUCGUCACCAGACCAGCUCCCACUCUCUCUCUUUCCAUCUCCUUCUCUCACCUCUGUCUGCACACCUGGUUCUCUCCCAUCUCCAUAUAUUUCUGUUACCUUUGUAGUGCAGAGCAUAUUCGCUGUCACCUUGUUUCACUAUUUCCUUGCAGACCAUUUUCUGGGGGCCUCUCCCUCUUUACCUCAAGCGACCCAUCGCAGUAAUUUCCUGGACAAAUAUGUAAAAGGGAUGCUCGCACCAGCCAAAAGAACUUCUUUCCCUCUGCUACAAACAUUUUACAGUGGAAGACUCUGAGGCUCCAAGAAGUUAAGCAACCUGGGCAGGACCACAGCUUCUGGGGAGACUCCUGAAGGGAGUUCCUGCCCCCCAGGAAGCUGGAGCUUCAGAGGGCCUGGCCUUAGCUGGUGGGGUUCUCGUCCUGCGAUUCCCUCUUCAGAACAUGAGGCUCCUCUCUUCCCAGGGCUCCCCCUUUUAAAGCAGGGUCGUGGAGGGAAGGCUCUGAUGGGGCCAGCAAUCCAUUACUUGGCUCUUUCGGGGGAACGCCCAUGGAUAUUAGGUAGAACCUAAGUGCUGCACUGUCAGCAAGUUCAGCGGUAGCCAGUCCAGCACACAUUGUCAGCUUAACACACCACCGGGUACAUUGUACCUCAUAGCUCAGAAUCAAUCAAGUCAAGGCAAUUUCCUUAACAUGCCAUCAAUAAAAGAUUAUGGACGGGGGGGAGGGCUUCCCUAAGAAGCUAAUGCCUUACUAAAGUUCAAAUGAGGCACUAUAUAGUAAAAUAAAUUCAAUCUCUAUUUUCACUCCUUGCAAUUUUAGUGGAGGCUAAAUGAAAUGGAACCGUGUUGAUCCUAACCCGUUCAAUAUAUCUUCACUUCCUAAGAACCAAGGUCAUUUUUACCUUCAUGGGAAGGGAGGCCAAAAUAUAAAAAUACUCACCCAUACCUAAUAGAAAGGCAUUUGCAGGGCUUUGAAAGCCAGGUAGAUGACUGAUAUAUUAUGUAAUUCGUUUCAUGGCAUAGCUGACUGUGUCUUAUAGAUAGUGUUUAACCUUGCCAAUUCUGCUCUGAGAUAACCCUCCUCUGAGGAUAAAAAUCAUAUAUUUAACAUAAAAGGAAAAGUUGGGAGAGAAAAAGCUGCAUAAUGUGUUCCGUACAACAGAACCAGAAGUUGCUUAUGCAGAAAGAUGAUCUGAACAAGUAUUUUGUGCUUUGCCUUAUUACCAUGUUACCAUUAUACUAAUCAGAAGUGAGGUGAAAACCACUUAAGGGGGACUAUGUUCCUGAAUGGCAAAAUAUAUCCACUGCUGAAUGCAAGGUAGUGUGUGGGCAACAGCAUAGACCCUAGAUUGAUCCUGUGCGCUACUGCAUACAUGGUCUGUGACCUUGGGUAUUUACUUAACCUCUUUAAGCCUCAGUUUCCUUGUCUGUGAAAUGGGCAUAACAACAAUCACUAUAGCAGAUAAUGCUGGUUAUUUAUUCAUCACCCAUUUUCCUUCUUCCUCCUUUCCAACAGAGCCCCAUUUUAUUCACACUUUCUCAACCUCUAAUUCUAUAGAGGACUCUUAAGUCACCCUAAGUGGUACAUAUCAGUCCCUGGCAUCUGUUAUUGGUCCAGGGAAGGGCACAUGAUGCCAAGUGGUCCAAUUGGAUGGAAGGGAAGACACUAACUCUCUUUUGUGGGUAUGAACAAGGAAGCACAUUGUCCUAAGACCACUGGUUGCCAUCUUUUAAUGUCAUUUUGACCUGAGAUUUCCUGUUACAGGCAUUCCAAAGCAUUCUAACUGAUAAACUAUCUUAGAGGAAGAGUGUUUCCAGGAUCAAGGGGAAGAUUCCAGGAUACAGGGCUAACCAAUGGAGAUUUCUGUGAUGAUGGAAACAGUUGACAUCUGCACUGUCCAAUA